rnacentral:rRNA from 1 species
UACGAAGGGGGCUAGCGUUGCUCGGAAUGACUGGGCGUAAAGGGCGCGUAGGCGGCUUGCACCGUCAGAUGUGAAAUUCCUGGGCUUAACCUGGGGGCUGCAUUUGAUACGUGUGGGCUUGAGUGGGGAAGAGGGUCGUGGAAUUCCCAGUGUAGAGGUGAAAUUCGUAGAUAUUGGGAAGAACACCGGUGGCGAAGGCGGCGACCUGGUCCUUGACUGACGCUGAGGCGCGAAAGCGUGGGGAGCAAACAGG